AUCCAGCUGAUGAGUUCAAAAUAAGACUAAACUCGUGUCCUGGAU
rfam:Schistosoma rodhaini strain Burundi genome assembly, scaffold: SROB_scaffold0007642